UCGGGAAGUAUUGCGCAAUGGAGGAAACUCUGACGCAGUGACGCCGCGUGCAGGAAGAAGGUUUUCGGAUUGUAAACUGCUUUAGACAGGGAAGAAACAAGACAGUACCUGUAGAAUAAGCUCCGGCUAACUACGUGCCAGCAGCCGCGGUAAUACGUAGGGAGCAAGCGUUAUCCGGAUUUAUUGGGUGUAAAGGGUGCGUAGACGGGAAUGCAAGUUGGUUGUGAAAUCCCUCGGCUCAACCGAGGAAUUGCAACCAAAACUAUAUUUCUUGGGUGCUGGAGAGGAAAGUGGAAUUCCUAGUGUAGCGGUGAAAUGCGUAGAUAUUAGGAGGAACACCAGUGGCGAAGGCGACUUUCUGGACAGUAACUGACGUUGAAGCACGAAAGUGUGGGGAGCAAACAGGAUUAGAUACCC
rnacentral:rRNA from 1 species